CUCACAAAUGCUGCCGCUGUUUCCUGUAUUUGUCAUCAAUUGUACAUCAGCAUUUUGGUUCAGAGUGAAUCAAGACAACUGGUUUUGGUGGCGUAUCGUGCAACACUUUCAAACAUGUGUAUUGAUACGUUUUUGCGAUGCUUGAUACAGUUAUUUACACAUUACAUCCACACCGUUAAAAAAUUGCUUUACAGACGUGAAAUCCGAAAAUACACCGGGGAUUAAGCAAUCACGUUAAUUAGCAACAUCAGUAUAAAGGCAGAAUUGCAAAAUUUGUGCGACCUCUGCUCAGUAGAAAUACAUUUCGAAAAGCUAUAGAAAGGACAGAAAAUUAGAAAGCACUGAUGGACCCUCGCAAAGUCAACGAGUUGCUUGAGUUCAAGAUCAACCACAACUAUCCGACUGAGUUCAACCAGAAUCAGCGAUACGUUCUAAAAAGACGGGCAGAGAGUUACCAAGUGAUAAGUAAGGCAAUCCACACGACCCUAUGGUUUCCUAACGAAUUUUUAAAUGUAUUUUUAAUGUUUAUGCAAUAUACAUCCUUUGAUGGGGAACUUUAUUACCAGUGCCGCAGAAAAAAGGAUGAGCAGCGUCAUCAUGUUGCCAAAGUCGUACUUACUCCACAAGAAGCGAACAACAUCUUUGUCGAGUUUCAUGCCAGCGAUAUUGGGGCUCAUUGCGGUAUUGAGAAAACCUUGGAUGCAAUCCUUCAAAGGUAUUACUGGCCUGGCAUGAAGGCUGACAUCCAAAAAUGGAUUGGCCAAUGUGACGCUUGCCAAAAAAAGAGGACCUCUAUAAAAGAGAAAAUCCAGUACAAACCCAUCGAGGUGACCGAGCCCUUUGAGCUUGUGGGAAUGGACCUAGUUGGCAAGCUGAAAUGCACCAACAAUGGUUACAUGUACAUUUGUGUCAUGGUGGACUACUUUACGAAGUGGAUAGAAGUCUACCCGCUAAGAACGAAGGGAGCAGAAGAAGUCACACGCUGCAUAAUGGACUUCUUUUACAAGUAUGGUGCCCCAAAACGCAUCUUGACCGACCGUGGCAAAGAAUUUGUCAACA